GAGGCCCCACCCGUUCCCAUACCGAACACGGAAGUUAAGCUCUCCCGCGCCGAUGGUACUGCCUUUUGGGGCGGGAGAGUAGGUCGUUGCCAGGC
rnacentral:rRNA from 1 species